rnacentral:misc_RNA from 1 species
GUAGGUGAACCUGCGGAAGGAUCAUUCAUAAUAAGUGUUUUAUGGCACUUUUUUAAAUCCAUAUCCACCUUGUGUGCAAUGUCAGGGUUGAUCUUUCUCUCGAGAGGAUCAGCCCCAAACAUCAACUAUAUCUCAACUCUUUGUCUGAAAAAUAUUAUGAAUAAAACAAUUCAAAAUACAACUUUCAACAACGGAUCUCUUGGCUCUC